rnacentral:rRNA from 1 species
GGGGGAGCGCGCGAAAGGCCGGAAAUUUUGCACCAAAUGAAUUAUAGCUGCCGGCCCAACCAGAUCUGCCCCAAAUUGAACCCUAUUCCACAAGUAGUCCUCCCAGACCAGCGCCGCCGCCGCCGCCCUCCGCCCUCGACCUCCUCCACCAACCAGUGCGCCCCCCAUCGACGUACGCGCCUCACGACGCCGACUCGUCAUCGCCUUCCUUCGGCACCGCCACCGGGGCAGGUCAACUAUGGCGAUGCGUCGAGGUCGAAGUCAACGUCGCCUCCCUCUCCAGCCCCAGAUCCCGUGGCGAAAAUCGCCACCACCAUACCGGCGCGCUCUUCUCCAUGGCACUCCAAGGUAACGAGCACGGGUGAGCUCCCCACCACAGCUCCCUCCAUCCCAACGGCACGAGAGGUGCUCAGAUCCAUCACGCUGGACAACACGCUGCUCAGAUCCGUCAUGCUGGAGUCUCCUCCUCUUUCCCAUGUACUCCUUUGCUACUCAGAGGAGGUGAGGUUGCCCAGCUUCUUUGUUCGAUUUUCUUUUCCUGCUACCGCAGACUGCCAGCGACCAUGUCCUCUGGACUUUUUUCUGUCCAUGAGCUCGCGGAGCUGAGGAUUUGCUUUUUGUGCCUACCUUAGCUACAUUGCUUCUUAGCAAAUAUUCACCAUCUUACAUUUUUAUAACUGAUUUUCUAUUUUGCGACUGUAAAACAAGAAGGCAGUAGAAUAACUACAAAAGGAGAAGGAAUCUGAUGUCCCAACAAAGCACAUGUGAAGAGCGCUCCAGGGAGAAAGAAGAAGGAAACAACAAUCUUGCAAACGAAUAAAGAAACAACAGCUUCAUGACAAAAAAUUUCAUGAGUGGAAAUCCUUUUUAAUGGACUGAUGGUGGGACUUGGGAGCAAAGCUCCCGGAGCGGAGGGAGUGCCAGCACAAUCGCGCGGAGCAGUUCGAACCCGGCUCCUCGCGCGGAGCGGAGUUGAGAAUCUAGAAGCUUCCGAACAGGCAGUAACUUUUGCACAAAUUUGGUUACGAGUCAUUGCUUUUUGCACAAAUUUGGUCAUGGGGUUGGCAUCAUCACUGGAAGAUGUUUCUACAUGAUGUUUCUUCUCUUCGUAUUAACAUCUUAAAAGCAUUACAAAUUCGUAACUCUUCUGCUGGAGACAUGUGGCCAUCUUCGAAUAAUGCAGUUUCAUUGGAUGGUGUGAGUUUGGUAUUCAGAUGAAUAUGUUAAUUCCAUCAAAGAAACAGCUUGAACAGAAAUGUACAAAAGAGUAAUCACGCAACUUGUAUUCGUGGACAUGGCUACAGCUAUGCACUAAAGUUAAACCAUUUGUGUAGCUUCAGUCUAAGGACACAAAAUCUUAUCGUCUUAUGUAAAUUUUGUUAACCGUUGUAGCUAGAUGCUACUAAACACAUGUACGGAAAUAAGCUUAUUUGUACUGAACUUUUAGUUUGUGAAUGUUUAUGAAAGUUUAAGGUUUUGGGUGAGG